UGCUCUAGGGAAAGCAGUCAACCAG
rnacentral:piRNA from 1 species